GAUGAACGCUGGCGGCGUGCCUAAUACAUGCAAGUCGAGCGAACGGACGAGAAGCUUGCUUCUCUGAUGUUAGCGGCGGACGAGUGAGUAACACGUGGAUAACCUACCUAUAAGACUGGGAUAACUUCGGGAAACCGUAGCUAAUACCGGAUAAUAUUUUGAACCGCAUGGUUCAAAAGUGAAAGACGGUCUUGCUGUCACUUAUAGAUGGAUCCGCGCUGCAUUAGCUAGUUGGUAAGGUAACGGCUUACCAAGGCAACGAUGCAUAGCCGACCUGAGAGGGUGAUCGGCCACACUGGAACUGAGACACGGUCCAGACUCCUACGGGAGGCAGCAGUAGGGAAUCUUCCGCAAAGGGCGAAAGCCUGACGGAGCAACGCCGCGUGAGUGAUGAAGGUCUUCGGAUCGUAAAACUCUGUUAUUAGGGAAGAACAUAUGUGUAAGUAACUGUGCACAUCUUGACGGUACCUAAUCAGAAAGCCACGGCUAACUACGUG
rnacentral:rRNA from 1 species